rnacentral:misc_RNA from 1 species
UUAAGUUCAGCGGGUAUCCCUACCUGAUCCGAGGUCAACCUUAAGAAAGGUUUUCCCACUUAAGGGAGUAAGACCGGGGCUCGGGCACCCUUAAUCCGAUACGUGCUCAGUUAAGAAGCUCAUUGUACCGGGGGUUCCACAAGUCCGCCGUCAUUGUCUUUAGGAGGGGUCUAAGCAAGAGCAUAACCAAACCAUCCAAC